rnacentral:rRNA from 1 species
UACGGAGGGAGCUAGCGUUGUUCGGAAUUACUGGGCGUAAAGCGCACGUAGGCGGCUUUGUCAGUUAGAGGUGAAAGCCUGGAGCUCAACUCCAGAACUGCCUUUAAGACUGCAUCGCUUGAAUCCAGGAGAGGUGAGUGGAAUUCCGAGUGUAGAGGUGAAAUUCGUAGAUAUUCGGAAGAACACCAGUGGCGAAGGCGGCUCACUGGACUGGUAUUGACGCUGAGGUGCGAAAGCGUGGGGAGCAAACAGG